AGAGUUUGAUCCUGGCUCAGAUUGAACGCUGGCGGCAGGCCUAACACAUGCAAGUCGAGCGGAUGAAGUGAGCUUGCUCAUGGAUUCAGCGGCGGACGGGUGAGUAAUGCCUAGGAAUCUGCCUGGUAGUGGGGGACAACGUUUCGAAAGGAACGCUAAUACCGCAUACGUCCUACGGGAGAGCAGGGGACCUUCGGGCCUUGCGCUACCUCAGAUGAGCCUAGGUCGGAUUAGCUAGUUGGUGAGGUAAUGGCUCACCAAGGCUACGAUCCGUAACUGGUCUGAGAGGAUGAUCAGUCACACUGGAAUUGAGACACGGUCCAGACUCCUACGGGAGGCAGCAGUGGGGAAUAUUGGACAAUGGGCGAAAGCCUGAUCCAGCCAUGCCGCGUGUGUGAAGAAGGUCUUCGGAUUGUAAAGCACCGUAAGUUGGGAGGAAGGGUUGUAGAUUAAUACUCUGCAAUUUUGACGUUACCGACAGAAUAAGCACCGGCUAACUCUGUGCCAGCAGCCGCGGUAAUACAGAGGGUGCAAGCGUUAAUCGGAAUUACUGGGCGUAAAGCGCGCGUAGGUGGUUCGUUAGGUUGGAUGUGAAAUCCCCGGGCUCAACCUGGGAACUGCAUCCAAAACUGGCGAGCUAGAGUAUGGUAGAGGGUGGUGGAAUUUGCUGUGUAGCGGUGAAAUGCGUAGAUAUAGGAAGGAACACCAGAAGGCGACCAACUGG
rnacentral:rRNA from 1 species